AGGACGAACGCUGGCGGCGUGCUUAACACAUGCAAGUGGAGCGACGAACCAGGCUUCGGCCUGGGGCAGAGCCGCGAACGGGUGAGUAACACGUGGGUAACCUGCCUCGAUGACCGGGACAACCCGGGGAAACCCGGGCUAAUACCGGAUGUGCUCCUUCACAUCAGUGAAGACAGGAAAGGAAGCUUCGGCCUCCGCAUCGAGAUGGGCCCGCGGCCCAUUAGCUUGUUGGUGAGGUAACGGCUCACCAAGGCUGCGAUGGGUAGCUGGUCUGAGAGGACGAUCAGCCACACUGGGACUGAGACACGGCCCAGACUCCUACGGGAGGCAGCAGUGGGGAAUUUUCCGCAAUGGGCGAAAGCCUGACGGAGCAAUACCGCGUGAGGAUGACGGCCUAUGGUUGUAACCUCUUUUUCAGGAGGAAUAAAUGACGUGUACCUGAAGAAUAAGCAUCGGCUAACUCCGUGCCAGCAGCCGC
rnacentral:rRNA from 1 species